UCAAGCUACUUAGAGUGCAUGGUGGAUGCCUUGGCAUCAGGAGGCGAUGAAGGACGCGGCAAGCUGCGAUAAGCGACGGGGAGAGGCAAACACUCCGUGAUCCGUCGAUGUCCGAAUGGGGGAACCCAACCGCUUCGGCGGUUAUUCCCCGCUGAAUACAUAGGCGGGGUAAAGCCAACCCGGGGAAUUGAAACAUCUCAGUACCCGGUGGAAAAGAAAGCGAAGCGAUUCCGUCAGUAGUGGCGAGCGAACGCGGAAGAGCCCAAACCGUUUUUGUGUCAAGCCCGAUGGCGUUGCAGAAACGGUGUUGCAGGAGCGAGGUUGAGGGCCCAUCGGGGUCCUCGGAGAGUUACAAACCAAACGGUUAGCCAAACACCUCUGGAAAGGGUGGCGGCACAGGGUGAUAGCCCCGUAGGCGAAAACCGAUUUGGCUCUCUGGCCUUGUUUCCUGAGUAGCAUGGGACACGUGGAAUCCCAUGUGAAACCGGGGGGACCACCCUCCAAGGCUAAAUACUCCCUGAUGACCGAUAGUGAACCAGUACCGUGAGGGAAAGGUGAAAAGAACCGGGGAACCGGAGUGAAAUAGGACCUGAAACCGUGCACUUACCAUCAGUCGGAGCCUGGCCGCAAGGCUGGGUGACGGCGUACCUUUUGCAUAAUGGCUCUGCGAGUUGCGUCUCGGAAGCAAGGCGAAGGCUAAAUCACGCCGAAGCCGAAGCGAAAGCGAGUCCGAACAGGGCGAAUGAGUUUCCGGGAGCAGACCCGAAACCCGUCGAUCUAUUCAUGGACAGGAUGAAGUUCGCUUAACAGCGGAUGGAGGUCCGGACCCACCAUGGUUGAAAACAUGGGGGAUGAGCUGUGAAUAGGAGUGAAAGGCUAACCAAGGCGGGUGAUAGCUGGUUCUCUCCGAAAUAGCUUUAGGGCUAGCCUCAAGACCAUGGCGCCGGGGUAGAGCACUGGAUGGAUGCGGGCCCUUACAAGGGUACCUAGUCCAACCAAACUCCGAAUACGGCGUUUGUAUCUUGGGAGUCAGACAGCGGGGGAUAAGCUUCGUUGUCGAAAGGGGAACAGCCCACAUCGUCGGCUAAGGUCCCCAAAUUCGUGCUAAGUGGUAAAGGCAGUGGGGCCGCACAGACAGCCAGGAGGUUGGCUUAGAAGCAGCCAUCCUUUAAAGAGUGCGUAACAGCUCACUGGUCAAGCGUGCCCUGCACCGAAGAUGUCCGGGGCUCAAGCACGAUACCGAGGCCACGGGUUCAGUCGACAGCUUGCUGUUGAAUGAGCGGUAGGAGAGCGUUGUUGCUGCAGCGAAGGUCAAGCGAAAGCGCGGCUGGAGCGGCAACAAGCGAGAAUGCAGAGAUAAGUAGCGAUAAGGCAGGUGAGAAUCCUGCCCGCCGAUAGCCUAAGGUUUCCUGUGCAAUGUAAGUCAGCGCAGGGUUAGCCGGCCCCUAACGCGAGGCCGAGAGGCGUAGCGGAUGGGAAUCCUGUUAAUAUUCAGGAGCCACGGCGAUGGAGGUUCGAGGUGACUGAGAAGAGUAGGUGAUGCGCAGGGAUGGUCGUCUGCGUCGACGCCUGCAGUCCCGUCGCAAGACGGGGCGAGGGGCGGAGGGACUGGGCGGGGCAACCCGUUUGGGAAGUCACCGAUCUCACGCUUGCAGGAAAUAACCUCAAAACCGUUGAAGUCGUCGUGACCGUACCACAAACCGACACAGGUAGGCAAGGCGAGAAGCCUGAGGCGCGCGAGUGAACCCUCGUUAAGGAACUCGGCAAAAUAGCCCCGUAACUUCGGGAGAAGGGGUGCCCGGGAGGGUGAUGGGACGGCGCAAGUCGCUCCCUGAGCUUUCCCAGGUCACAGCAAAGAGGCUCUAGCGACUGUUUAACAAAAACACAGGACUCUGCAAAGUCGUGAAGACGACGUAUAGGGUCUGACGCCUGCCCGGUGCCGGAAGGUUAAGGUGAGAGGUUAGCCGCAAGGCGAGGCCUUGAUCCGAAGCCCCGGUAAACGGCGGCCGUAACUAUAACGGUCCUAAGGUUAACUUCAUGCUAGCCCUAGUAAAAUUGGGCUAUAUGCUGGAAAGUCUGUGUAUCUUAUGCUACUUCCGCAAAGGGAGUAACAAUGCAUGAGUGCAGAUAAUCAGCAGGAAAGCCUAAAAACCAUCGGAUGGAUAGUUGGUUUUGUUGAUGGUGAAGGAUGUUUCUCUGUGACUCUACAGAGAAUGUCAUCAAUGAAAUCCGGCUGGCAGGUUUUCCCCGAAUUUGUUGUGACNNNNNNNNNNNNCAGUUUGUCAGUGCUGCGGCAUCUUCAAGAGUAUUUUGGAUGCGGAAGAAUAUUUGUGAAUCAACGGGUCGAUAAUCACAGAGAGCAUCUGUAUCGGUUCUGUGUGAGGGCGCUCAAUGAUUUACGACAGAAGGUUAUUCCGUUUUUCCAAGAAAAUGUCCUUCGUACAAAGAAGCGAGAAGACUUCGCAAAAUUUGUACGGAUCGUCGAGAUGAUGGGGAAGAAACAACAUCUCGAUCGACGCGGGCUUGAAGGAAUCGCGCGUAUUGUCCAGACGAUGAAUCGCAAGAAGGCCGCGAGGUUUUUAGAAUCCUCAGAGACUAUACGCCCAAUCCGCGUUCUGCGGAAAGAUAUAGUCCGAGCUGCAUAGCGAUAUGCAGAGGGCGGCAGAAAUGACCGCUCCCUUCGCAGUUGCAUCGCGAAGCGUAACAGGUCUGAGCGAAGUUCCUUGUCGGGUAAGUUCCGACCUGCAUGAAUGGCGUAACGAUUGCCACACUGUCUCAGCUAGAGACUCAGCGAAAUUGUAUUGGCCGUGCAGAUGCGGUCUACCCGCGGCAAGACGGAAAGACCCUGU
rnacentral:rRNA from 1 species